GACGAACCGUCCUAACGUUGUUCGGAAUCACUGGGCUUAAAGGGCGCGUAGGCGGCCAGCACAAGUCAGUUGUGAAAUCUCCGAGCUUAACUCGGAAAGGUCAACUGAUACUGUGCGGCUAGAGUGCGGAAGGGGCAACUGGAAUUCUUGGUGUAGCGGUGAAAUGCGUAGAUAAUCAAGAGGAACACCUGCGGCGAAGGCGGGUUGCUGGGCCGACACUGACGCUGAGGCGCGAAAGCCAGGGGAGCGAACGGG
rnacentral:rRNA from 1 species